UACAGAGGUCUCAAGCGUUGUUCGGAUUCAUUGGGCGUAAAGGGUGCGUAGGCGGCGCGGUAAGUCGGGUGUGAAAUCUCGGGGCUUAACUCCGAAACUGCAUUCGAUACUGCCGUGCUUGAGGACUGGAGAGGAGACUGGAAUUUACGGUGUAGCGGUGAAAUGCGUAGAUAUCGGGAGGAACACCAGUGGCGAAGGCGAUUUACUGGACCACAACUGACGCUGAGACACGAAAAGCGUGGGGAGCAAACAGGG
rnacentral:rRNA from 1 species